AACGAACGCUGGCGGCAUGCCUAACACAUGCAAGUCGAGCGCGCCCUUCGGGGUGAGCGGCGCACGGGUGCGUAACGCGUGGGAACCUGCCCUUUUCUACGGAAUAGCCUCGGGAAACUGAGAGUAAUACCGUAUACGCUCUUUGGGGCAAAGAUUUAUCGCAUAAGGAUCGGCCCGCGUUGGAUUAGGUAGUUGGUAGGGUAAUAGCCUACCAAGCCGACGAUCCAUAGCUGGUCUGAGAGGAUGAUCAGCCACACUGGGACUGAGACACGGCUCAGACUCCUACGGGAGGCAGCAGUGGGGAAUAUUAGACAAUGGGCGCAAGCCUGAUCCAGCCAUGCCGCGUGAGUGAUGAAGGCCUUAGGGUUGUAAAGCUCUUUCAGCUGGGAUGAUAAUGACAGUACCAGCAGAAGAAGCCCCGGCUAACUCCGUG
rnacentral:rRNA from 1 species